rnacentral:rRNA from 1 species
UGGUGGCGAGUGCGAACGGGUGAGUAAUACAUCGGAACGUGUCCUGUAGCGGGGGAUAACCUCUCGAAAGAGAGGCUAAUACCGCAUACGACCCAUGGGUGAAAGAGGGGGAUCGCAAGACCUCUCACUAUUGGAGCGGCCGAUGUCGGAUUAGCUAGUUGGUGGGGUAAAAGCCUACCAAGGCUACGAUCCGUAGCUGGUCUGAGAGGACGACCAGCCACACUGGAACUGAGACACGGUCCAGACUCCUACGGGAGGCAGCAGUGGGGAAUUUUGGACAAUGGGCGCAAGCCUGAUCCAGCCAUGCCGCGUGGGUGAAGAAGGCCUUCGGGUUGUAAAGCCCUUUCGGCUGGGACGAAAAGAUUCGGGCUAAUAACCCGGAUCCAUGACGGUACCAGCAGAAGAAGCACCGGCUAACUACGUGCCGGCAGCCGCGGUAAUACGUAGGGUGCAGGCGUUAAUCGGAAUUACUGGGCGUAAAGCGUGCGCAGGCGGUUUGCUAAGAGAGAUGUGAAAUCCCCGGGCUUAACCUGGGAACUGCGUUUCUAACUGGCAGGCUUGAGUGUGGCAGAGGGGGGUGGAAUUCCACGUGUAGCAGUGAAAUGCGUAGAGAUGUGGAGGAACACCGAUGGCGAAGGCAGCCCCCUGGGCUUAACACUGACGCUCAUGCACGAAAGCGUGGGGACA